rnacentral:rRNA from 1 species
ACCACAACGGGUGGAGCUUCCGGUUUAAUUGGAUUCAACGCCGGAAAUCUUACCGGGACCGACAGCGAUAUGAAGGCCAGGCUGAAGACUUUGCCGGAUUAGCUGAGAGGUGGUGCAUGGCCGUCGUCAGUUCGUACUGUGAAGCAUCCUGUUAAGUCAGGCAACGAGCGAGACCCACGCCCACAGUUGCCAGCGUACUCUCCGGAGUGACGGGUACACUGUGGGGACCGCCGCUGCUAAAGCGGAGGAAGGAAUGGGCAACGGUAGGUCAGUAUGCCCCGAAUAUCCCGGGCUACACGCGAGCUACAAUGGUUGGUACAAUGGGUAUCUACCCCGAAAGGGGAUGGUAAUCUCCUAAAGCCAAUCUUAGUCCGGAUUGAGGGCUGCAACUCGCCCUCAUGAAGCUGGAAUCCGUAGU